rnacentral:rRNA from 1 species
CCUACGGGGGGCUGCAGUAGGGAAUCUUCCGCAAUGGACGAAAGUCUGACGGAGCAACGCCGCGUGAGCGAAGAAGGUCUUCGGAUCGUAAAGCUCUGUUGUCGGGGAAGAACAAGUACGGUGGGAAAUGGCCGUACCUUGACGGUACCCGACGAGAAAGCCACGGCUAACUACGUGCCAGCAGCCGCGGUAAUACGUAGGUGGCGAGCGUUGUCCGGAAUUAUUGGGCGUAAAGCGCGCGCAGGCGGUCCUUUAAGUCUGAUGUGAAAUCUUGCGGCUCAACCGUAGUAAGCCCUUGGAACUGAUUGGCUUGGGUGCAGGAGAGGAGAGUGGAAUUCCUAGUGUAGCGGUGAAAUGCGUAGAUAUUAGGAGGAACACCAGUGGCGAAGGCGACUCUCUGGACUGUAACUGACGCUGAGGCACGAAAGCGUGGGGAGCAAACAGGAUUAGAUACCCCUGUAGUC